rnacentral:rRNA from 1 species
AGUGAACGCUGGCGGUAGGCCUAACACAUGCAAGUCGAACGGCAGCACAGUAAGAGCUUGCUCUUACGGGUGGCGAGUGGCGGACGGGUGAGGAAUAUAUCGGAAUCUACUUUUUCGUGGGGGAUAACGUAGGGAAACUUACGCUAAUACCGCAUACGACCUACGGGUGAAAGCAGGGGAUCUUCGGACCUUGCGCGAUUGAAUGAGCCGAUGUCGGAUUAGCUAGUUGGCGGGGUAAAGGCCCACCAAGGCGACGAUCCGUAGCUGGUCUGAGAGGAUGAUCGGCCACACUGGAACUUAGACACGGUCCAGACGCCUACGGGAGGCAGCAGUGGGGAAUAGUGGACAAUGGGCGCAAGCCUGAUCCAGCCAUACCGCGUGGGUGAAGAAGGCCUUCGGGUUGUAAAGCCCUUUUGUUGGGAAAGAAAAGCAGCAGGUUAAUACCCCGCUGUUCUGACGGUACCCAAAGAAUAAGCACCGGCUAACUUCGUG